rnacentral:rRNA from 1 species
CAGUAGCCGCGGUAAUACGAAGGAGGCUAGCGUUGCUCAGAAUUACUGGGCGUAAAGGGAGCGUAGGCGGACAUUUAAGUCAGGGGUGAAAUCCCGGGGCUCAACCUCGGAAUUGCCUUUGAUACUGGGUGUCUUGAGUAUGAGAGAGGUAUGUGGAACUCCGAGUGUAGAGGUGAAAUUCGUAGAUAUUUGGAAGAACACCAGUGGCGAAGGCGACAUACUGGCUCAUUACUGACGCUGAGGCUCGAAAGCGUGGGGAGCAAACAGGAUUAGAUACCCCCGUAGUCCCUGUCUCUUAUAC